GACGAACGCUGGCGGCGUGGAUUAGGCAUGCAAGUCGAACGGUAUCAUCCUUUCGGGGGUGAGAGAGUGGCGAACUGGUGAGUAACACGUAGGUUAUCUACCCUCAAGACGGGGACAACCCAGGGAAACUUGGGCUAAUACCGGAUGUGAGCAACUUUUAGUUGUUUGAAAGGUGGCGUAAGCUGUCGCUUGGGGAUGAGCCUGCGUCCUAUUAGUUAGUUGGUGAGGUAACGGCUCACCUAGGCAAUGAUAGGUAGGCGGCCUUAACGGGUGGUCGCCCACACUGGGAUUGAGAUACGGCCCAGACUCCUACGGGAGGCAGCAGUCGAGAAUAGUCUACAAUGGUCGGAAGACUGAUAGUGCGACGCCGCGUGAACGAUGAAUCCCUUCGGGGUGUAAAGUUCUUUUAUAUGUGAGCAGUGCUUCUUAUAUUAACAGUAUGGGGAGAGAGAUAUUAGCAUAUGAAUAAGCAAACGGCUAAACUCCGUGCCAGCAGCCGCGGU
rnacentral:rRNA from 1 species